AGCCAAUCAAAUCAAAGAAGGUGGAGUUGUUUACAGUAGCCGGAGCGCGAGCUACAAACUACAGAGCGAGUACACGUCUGCGCGAUGUUUCGGAUUGUUAGCGGUGGUGAAAGUGCAACACACGACUGACAGGCCAGAAACCUGACUGAUCCAGAGAAGAUCUGUGUGGAGGAGUGGGCCAAAAAAAUGAAAAACUACAGGAAACGUUGACCUCUGUAAUUGCAAACAAAGGAUUAUGUCUCUCACAGUGGACAUGAUGCACCUACGAUGACAAUUUCAGACCCCUCCAUGAUUUCUAAGUGGGAGAACUUGCAAAAUAGCAGGGUGUUCAAAUACUUAUUUUCAUCACUGUAUUUUAGCAUUGUUGUUUAAUAAAACCAUGUGUUUAUUGGGUUUUGAUACUUUAUUUGCACCAAUUAUUAUUGUCUCAUCAAGACAAGAUUGUCAUUUUAAAAGCUUUUGCUCCCUUAGGUCUAUUU